UUCAAUCAAGACUAUUGAAAUCCUGGAACCAAAGCCGCCGCCGCCGCCACCAAAACCAAAACCAAAACCAUCACCACCACCGCCGGCACCGGCUCCGGAACCAAAACCCUCACCACCACCCCCGGCACCGGCUCCGGAACCAAAACCGUCACCACCACCCCCGGCACCAGCACCGGCUCCCCAACCAAAACCAUCACCAGCCCCACCACCGCCGCCGCCGGCACCGGCUCCGGAGCCCGUUCGGUGUUACCCACCAGUUAGGACAUGCUGCAGGGAAUGUUAUGAGGGGCGUGGUGGGGGACCGUGUUACUCACCUGUUAGGGCAUGUUGCAGGGAAUGUUCCGAGGGGCGUGGUGGGGGACCGUGUUACUCACCUGUUAGGGCAUGUUGCAGGGAAUGUUCCGAGGGGCGUGGUGGGGGACCGUGUUACUCACCUGUUAGGGCAUGUUGCAGGGAAUGUUCCGAGGGGCGUGGUGGGGGACCGUGUUACUCACCUGUUAGGGCAUGUUGCAGGGAAUGUUCCGAGGGGCGUGGUGGGGGACCGUGUUACUCACCUGUUAGGGCAUGUUGCAGGGAAUGUUCCGAGGGGCGUGGUGGGGGACCGUGUUACUCACCUGUUAGGGCAUGUUGCAGGGAAUGUUCCGAGGGGCGUGGUGGGGGACCGUGUUACUCACCUGUUAGGGCAUGUUGCACGGAAUGUUCUGAGGGGCGUGGUGGGGGACCGUGUUACCAGCUUGGCUACGGGCGAGAGAGGCAGUAUGAUUGGUGCUAUGGAAGGCCAGUGUAUGAGAGUUGGGGUGGUGGCUGCGAUAACAGAGUUUAUUACAGAGGUCGCUGUUCAGAUUACAUCUGUGAAGCAAAUCCAGCAGCUCCAUGCACAAUCAUGUAAAAUUAACGAUCAUGAAUGGUGAUCGUCAGUGAUCAUGUCGUUUAAUUUGUUCUAGUUGCCUCUCGUUAAUAUAGACUCUACUGGAAAAUCAAAGAUAAAUAAAGGUCGGUGGAUCCGGUGUUUGUGAUGAGGAGUUUUCUAUUAAAAAACUUAAUUUUCAAUUUCGUGAAGUUAAAGUAAAUAAUGUAUUGAUUUUCAUUCUUUUCCAUCUCAUUUUAAUCUUAAGAUAAAAAAAAUACGUUAUAAUAUUGAUUUGCUUUUUCAAUUAAUGGUGCAUUUUCGAUUCCUAAGGGCCUGUUUGGUACCAUUUUUCACCCCUUGUUUUUGUUUUCGUUUUCAGAAUCCACAAAGAUACAUGUUUGGUGCAUUAAUUUCAUAGAACAAAUUACAAAAUAAGGAAUUCAGAUUACACUUUUAUAACUACAAUUGUGAAAACAUGUUAAACAUGUUCUCUAAAUAUUACAAGUCUAAACUCAAAAAUAAAUUAAAAAACAAAAUCAUGAGCUCGUGGCUAUAUCUCCUCAUCUGUUUCUCUUCGUCAACAGCUCUCUCUCACCCCCACCCCCAUUCUUUCUCGAUCUUACAGCAGAUCUUUGUCCUCUCUCUCCUUAUCUUCAUCCAACAACACACACUCUCUCCUUAUCUCUCCCGAUCUACUCUCUCACGGUGUGCCAACUGUUGUCCUUCGUCUCUGCUACCGCUGCAACUUUAUCUCAGCCACUAUUGCAGCUCCGUCUCCGCUGUGGUCGCUACUGCUCCGUCUCCACGUAGCUACUGUUGUUCUGUCUCAGUCUAGCUGCUGCUGCUCUGUCUUGAUCGCCUGGACUGCCGUUGCUCUCUCGGCCUUUUCUCUUGCUGGUAUUUGUUUUAUUUCAGCAAAUUUUGAGUAAUUAUUUGAAUAAUUUUGAGAAAUUGUUUUUUAAAGCAUGUUAUAUUGUGGAUUCCCUUAGUUUAUGCCAAAAUUUUGGAAUUGAUUAUUUGUUCAUACUUUCGUAGCAUGGACAAGGACAUGAAGUUUGUUCUCAAUCAAUUUUAAAAAUGGCAGGGGACAAGAAGAUCGGAGUGGCACUGGACUUUUCGCUGAGCAGCAAAUUUGCUCUAUCAUGGGCUGUUAAUAACUUGCGUCUUGCCCUGUGACCAUCGUCAAGAAUCCAAGCUUCGCCAAGCACUGAUCAAAUAUAAAUAGGGCUUUAAUUUACACCCAAUCUUAUGUUAUCCUGGGUGAAUUCGGGUUUCUUGUUUAGAUUUGAGUAUAUUUAAUUCACUUGGGUUGUAAAGAAUUUGGGUGAAUAAAGGAUGAUAAUUCUAAAAAUAGUGCAGUGGCAGAUAAAUAGUUGAAGGUUGAAAUAGAGUUGUCUGGGGAUAGAAAGAAUGACUUCUGUCAAAUAGGCUUGAUUAAUUCAAAUGGCAGAUACUUAGUUGAAAUUACUGCAAAAUGGUUGUGAUUGGAUAUGAAAUACACUGGGCACCUAUGUAUACAUAUACCAUAUAUUAUUUUCAGUUCUGUGUUUUGGACAAUUUGGUUUUGUGUUGGCUUUAUGUUAUGUUUGGAACUGCUGUGCUUUUGCAUCUUCUUUGCUAAACAAGCACUUUUUACUUGAUGGCUGAUGUCUACCAACCACCCUCACUUCAUAGGUAGUUAUUGCAUUCGACAAAGCACCUGAAACCCAAACGAAGUCACAAUGGCAAGUGAGACUGAGGCAAGGCCUUCCAUCGCAGCAAGCAAUACUAAGGGCAUGGUCCCAAGCUCUGGAUUUGCAAAUAACUUAAAUUGUUGCUGUAUUCGCCAUUGAUUAAAUGUGAAUAUUGUAAAUUACAUAUUGUUGUAUUUUAAUUCUUUUAAUGAAUGAUUUGAUAUGAAAUCUGAAUUGCAGAGAUGAAUGGUAUAGGAAAUAGAAUUUCAAUAUGGCAUGAGUAUACAUGUAAUGCAUGACGUCCAUUAUGUAAUUUUUUAUAAUUAUUAUGUUUAAAUCAUGUGUUAUAAUAUCUUAAUUAGUGUAAAAACAAUGACAAUAUAAACAUUUUUUAAUUAAUGCUGAUACUCAAAUUUUAUUAUCGUGUAAUUUUUUAUAAUUAUUUUGUUUAAACUAUUUGUGGAAUGAUUGUGUAUGUAUUAGUUAAACAAUUACUUUUUAUUCAUAAAUAUGACUUAAAUAUUUAAUAAAAACUGUUUUUGAAAAUGAUAUUACCAAACAUAUUCACUGUUUUUUUCCUCUUAAAUGUGUCCACCAAACGCAUAUUACUGUUUUCAAUUUUAAAAUACAGGAUAUAAAAAAUUAUACCAAACGCAUAUUUAAAUUUGAAAUACAGCACUGCAAAACACCAUUUUCAUUUUCAUUUUUAUUUUUAUAAAAUACAAAUUCAAAAACAAUACCAAACGGGCCCUAACUUUCUCUCUCUUUCUCAUCAUGCCAUGUCUUAUAAUUUUGAUGAUCUUUUUGUUAAAGAUAAAUGUAGUGCCGCCAGAGUCAUAGUAAUAGAAUUUUAUUUAUGUUUCUUGGAAGGGUAUUUUUAAGGUGAGUACUUAUUGUUCGUAGAAAGAAAUUUAGAGAUCAUUGGUUUUCUAAAAAAUUAAUAACAAAUGCAUUUUAGUCAAAUAUAAUCGGCAACAAUGUGGAUUUUAAUUAUCUUUGGGGUCCGCCUAACUUAUGUGAAAUGUAAGUUACGGUCAGCUUGUGAAAUGUCAUCUAGCCCCCUAUGCUUUAUAUUAUUUAUCUUUUAUUUAUAAAUAUUAUAAACUUUUUGAACUGUAAAAUUUCGUCUAAUCCCUUCUACUCAAUUUUAUUUUAUUAAAACCAUAGAGUAUGAAUUUGCCCCCAUAAUUUUAAAUUCUCAAAAUAGAGCAUAGGUGGCUAGAUGAAAUUUCACAGGCUGACCGUAACUUACAUUUAACGUAAGUUAGGUCGGACCCUUCUAUAUUAUUUAUAUUUUAUUCAUGAAUAUUAUAAAUUUUUUUAAAUAUAAAAUUUCGUUUAACCCCUUAUACUCAAACAGCAGUUAUUGAAACCAUAGAGUAUGAAUUCGCCCCCAUAAUUUUAAAUUCUCAAAAUAACCUCCAUUUAAUUAAAAAAUAUAAUUAUUUUUAAAUGAAUUAUAAUUAUAAUNNNNNNNNNNNNNNNNNNNNNNNNNNNNNNNNNNNNNNNNNNNNNNNNNNNNNNNNNNNNNNNNNNNNNNNNNNNNNNNNNNNNNNNNNNNNNNNNNNNNNNNNNNNNNNNNNNNNNNNNNNNNNNNNNNNNNNNNNNNNNNNNNNNNNNNNNNNNNNNNNNNNNNNNNNNNNNNNNNNNNNNNNNNNNNNNNNNNNNNNNNNNNNNNNNNNNNNNNNNNNNNNNNNNNNNNNNNNNNNNNNNNNNNNNNNNNNNNNNNNNNNNNNNNNNNNNNNNNNNNNNNNNNNNNUUUAUAAUGCUUUUUAUUAUCGUUAUUAAUAAUAACAAGAAUCUAUUAAAAAAAUAUUUAUGAUUAUAAUAAAAUUAUAAUUAUAAUUAUAAUUCAUUUAACAAUAAUUAUAUUUUUUUAUUAAAUGGAGGUUAUUUUGAGAAUUUAAAAUUAUGGGGGUGAAUUUAUACUCUAUGGUUUUAAUAAAAUAAAAUUCAGUAGAAUGGGUUAAACGAAAUUUUAUAUUUCAAAAAGUUUAUAACAUUUAUGAAUAAAAUAUAAAUAAUAUAAAGUAUAGGGGGCUAGAUGAUAUUUCACAGGCUGACCGUAACUUACAUUUCACGUAAGUUAGGCGGACCCUUAUCUUUGAGUUUCUUUCUCCGAAUGACGAAGAUUGGGUCAAGUAUAAAUGGGGGGAAAAAACGAUACCUUUUUUUAAAAUGGAAACAAAAGUAAAUCAUGCUUGAUCAAAAUGAAUAAAUUAAAUAAGAAAACUGAAGUAAAGAAAAGGAAACCCUUUCAAGUCAGGCAUUAAAGCAAUGUGGGGUAGAAUGAAUCAUGUAGACACAUAGUUUGGUCGUCGUUAUAUCAAGUGACAGUAACUUGUUUGGCGACGAAUUAGGCUUGAUUGGUCCUGGUCGAGCUUCGAGCUUCAAUAUAUGCCGUAGAGGCUGGAGCCAGCCUCUAUUUAUCCGAAAUUUAUUAAAUGAAUGGAGAAAAACACAACACACCACUAACAUCGGCAGAAAAAGGUUACAUGGGUUUGUUGAAUAUGUUUCAAAAUUUGUUAAUAAUAGGCUGGGUUGGGCUUUUUCAAGCCUAGACCAAGCCUAUGCUAGGGAAAAUAGGUUUAAGUUUUCUAAAAGUUCAUUCAAUUUUGGAGGGAUGGCCCUGGGGUGUCAACAUACUAUUUAAAUAAUUUUUAUAAUUAUUUUAAAUUUAUAAUCGGGUAAUAAUCAAUGAAUUAUUAUAAUUAACAAUAAUUAAAAAUAAUGGGCUCAAAAUAAAAUAACAAAUAAAGAAAAUAAAAACUUACAGAUUUAAUUUAUUAGUACUAAACUCUAAUACAAGCAUAUUCUUAAUUAUUUAAUUCUACUUCCUAUAAUCAAAAAAAAAAAAAAAACAAAGCUAUCUAAAGCCAAAAGGUUUUAAAUUGAUUGAUCUUUGAAUAAUUAAACUUGAUAGAGGAAUAUGAAAUGAUUGGAAAUUGAUUUCUUUUUUAAUUUAUAAAUUUAAAUUCAAUUAUUUUAAAAUAAAUAGAGGACUAGGUCUAGUUGGAGCUUUUUUUUUCUUAAGUCCUUUCGGAGGUGCUUUUGCAGAGGGCCUAAUAUUUUUUUCCAUAUGUCCAGGCCCAUAUGCCUGCCUUGCCUCAGCUUGCCAAACCUGGGCCGGGCAGGCUUGUUCUUUUGGGUCGAGCCUUGUUAAUAAGGGUAUGUUUGCAAGCUUUCUAAACUUAUUGGGUACACGCGUAAUAACUCAAAUAUUUUUAGUAACACAGCGUUGUAUUUUUUGGCGGGAAAGGCUGUCGCUGACACGGCUAACUGAUUUGGUUGACCAGUAGUUGACUUUUUGUAUUUUGUGAAGCGGUUGUUAUGCAGCAAGCUUAGUAUCGUUGUAAAGCUUGAAAUGCCCUUUGUAAUCCUAUGUUAUUUUCUGUAAUCAAAGGACAGCAAGAAGCUCUGUUCUUGGUUACUAAUAUUGUUUUGUAGUUGAAUCUUGUUUCCUUGUGUCUGUUGUAGGUUAAGGGUCAUAGAUUAGUUGUUAAACAAUCUUUCAACUGAAUCCAAUUUAGAUUGGAUUUGCUUUAACACUGUGAAAAACUAAAAGAGUAAUAACAAGUUCACAAAGUUAGGACUUGACGGUCAUUCAUUCUUUAUUCCAAAGUGAACAAUUAAUGAACACAUGGUAUUGAGUGAUUAGUGACUUUGCAUGCCACUUGGGAUACAAAACAUAUAUAGAAAUUAAGCAAAUCUUUUGGCUUAAUGGCUUCAAGGGUAUUGUUUCAGCCCUUCCAUGUAAUCCGGCAACAAGGCGAAAAACGGAGGAGCAUUGAGCGCUAGAAGAAUAUGUGAAAACAAGUUCGUGAUCUGCUCCUUGCAAUACAAGCAUUCCUGGAGAAGUCUAUGUUUCAGUGAUGAAAAUUCAAUGGAAGAUUGAUCGUUAUCUGGAGUUUGAAAGUAGCUUGAAGAGCAUCAUCAGUGCCUGAUUUUGGAGAUUAUUCGAUUUUGAUAUAUGGAUUUGAGUUUGUUAAGAAAAAAGUUGUGUUUCCAGACUCUUUGGAAAAUUUCCUGCAUCAGGACUGUAUAUGCAGUGGAAACAUGGCAAUAUAAUGGAUAUUUCCCGAGAAAAUAUGCACUUACUACUUCAUACUCCCACAAAAUAAAUCAAUCAAGGGUCAAAUGUUAAAAAUCAGCAUUCAAAGUGAAACAAAAAAACCGCAGCUAAAUUGCCUCAUAGAUUACUUGCAGCAAGUCAUUAAUAAAACCAACCAGAACAGAAUAAUGCCAAGGAUAUAUUAUAACCCAAGAUUAAAGUAAAUUACAGCAAAUGUGAUGGCAAGCUCUAGGAUUCUGUCACACCCUAUUUCUUCUUGAUACCAUUUUUGAUUGUUUUCCUACAUUUUCUAGUCUAGCUUUAACAGGUAAACUAAGUCUAAGAAUACCCAUCUGCGUACAACAAGAUUACUAUCUAAUCCUAAAAAUUGAAAUAAACUGUACAAGCUUCAUCCCUAAAGCUUAAUAGUGGUGCCGGAAGAAAAUUCCUCCUUGAUCUUUUUGCCACAAAGCUGAUUGGAUAACACUCGCUAAUUCCUAUUUCCAUCAUGAAACUGGAUGCCUGAUUAAAUCCAGCGGCCAGUGGCUCUGUACUGCAGAGUAGCUUCAGGCUUGCACCCAGCUUGAAGUUCGCAUCACUAGACACAAAAGAUACCCAUUCGGUUCUCAGCCUCCAAGGAUAAAGUUUCAUUCCUUUUAUCCAACCCAGAAACCAAACAAAACGCAGAAUAGACCCCUUCACCCCUUCCUUUGGAGAAUCCGAGACAAGAAAUUCCUCUUCUUUACCUUGCUGCACAAGCAUUCCUGGAAAAUCAAAUGGUUCUGGCAUGACUGAUUUUCCUAUGACAUUGUUGAGUGAUGAAAAAUUGGACAAAGAUGCAUCCUGUCUGAAGGUAGCAUGAAGAGCAGCGUCUAUGGCGUAUAGGGGUGGCAAAAAUACCUACCCGGUGGACCUUGACUGCACCCGGGCAUUUUGGGCUGGGUCGGUCUUGGACACCAUUUGAUAAAUUCAGAAAAAAUAUAAAAUUCAGUUAUCCGAAUUAAAACAUGACACAACCCGGCCCGGGCAUCUAUUGCAUCCGGGUCGGGUCCAGUCAUUGCGAUAGUUAGACCCGGCCCGGGGUUUGCCAGCUCCAAUGGCAGAUACCGGGGAUUCUUCCAUUGUGAUUGAUUGGUUUGAGUUUGACAUGAAAAAAGCCGAGUUUUCAGGCUCUUCGGCUGGGGUCGGGCUGUAAUGCAGCGCUGCAUGUCGUGCAGCUGCCUUUAUUAUUUUUUUAAUAAUGCGGAUGUAACCGGCCACCGAUACCCUCCUUUUAAUCGCUUAAAGAGCAAAUGUUAAAAGAAACUAUCAUACAGCUCCCUCGUUUUAGGAAAUAUUAAGAUAAUUAAUUCAAAACUAGUAAAUUAUCAAAUACCCCCUCAACUUUACACCAAAAAAAUACUUCCCUUUUUCUUUUUAUUCAUGGAAAAUAUAGUUAAUAUAUUUAACUUCUAUCCUAAAAGAAACAUAAUUAAAUCAAAUUAAUUGGACUAAUAUAUUUAAAUAAAAAUAAUUAUAUUAUUUUUCUUAAUAUUGCAUUAUAAAUUUAAUGAUAUUUUGCUUUAAAAAAUGUAACUUAUGUACUAAUGAGAAUACUAUUUAAAUAUAAUAAAUGGAAAUAAUUAUAUAUUAAUUAAACAAUUUUUAAUUUAUUAAUUGCACUAUUUUUAAUAUUAUGUAAUAAAUGUAAUGAUAUUUUGCUUACAAAACUAUCAAAAUAAUUUUAUCAACUUUUAAUUACAUUAGAAUCCGAGUAUCUAAACAUAUAACGAAAUCGAUUUAUUUCUAGAUAUUUAGAAGAAAUCAAUUCUAGGAUCUCACGAUACACAUUCGGGGACUUAAAUCCCUACCUACUAAAAUGAGGACAAUAUUUAUCCAACUAUCAAAUAAUUAUCAUUCCAAACAUCGUAGUUACCCCUCAAAUAUUGUUGUUGUUAUUAUUAGUGACCAAUAUUAGUAUGUUUUAUGUAUACCCUCUAAAAAAAUAUUCAUAUAUUACAAAAUAUAAAGCAUAUUAUAUUUGAUAUUUUUAAAUAAAACUCAUAAUCAAUCUCUUGUGCAAAUUAAUUCAUACUAUCUUAAGUGAGAUUAAUUAUUUUAUUUAAUCCUUUUUGCUAUAAUAAUUUUUUUGUUAAACAUUAAUCAAAUUCAUAAUGGUACAUAACAUGGAUAAUUACAAUUUGAAUGCAACUAAUAUUGAAUAAUGUUGUAUUAUGUUAUACUUACAGUUAUAUAAUUUAAGCAUGACAAUUAUAUUUCUAAAUUAAAUUAAAUUAUUUGAGUAACAUUGCACUCACUAUAUGGGUACAUGAUUUGUCUACUAAAUGAUGUGCAAGUAUUAUAAAAUAUGUUCAAUCUUAAAUUUAUAUCUAUAUUUUUUUGAAAUUAAGUUAAUUUAUAUCACAACCAAAAAAAAUUAAAUUAUUUAAAAAUAUGAAAAAUAUAAAUUCAUUUUCAUAGUAAGCAGUAUGUUUUACUCUAAAUUUAAUUUAUAUACUUUGAAUAUAAUUUUUUCAAUUUAGUUUUUUUUAACUGAUUAAGCAUCAUGGUACUGUAUUACACAGAUAUUUACAACUGUUAUAACAGCAAAUUAUUAUACUGAUAUUUACAAUUAGAUAUACAAACUAAGACUUAUAUUAUUACAUUUUAAAUUCUAUGAAGUAAGUGCUCAGACAAAUAACCCUCACAGAGGAGGAGUGUCUCCACUCUACUCACAUUUCAUAAGGCACUCGUAUUUCGUAAGGGAGAAAAACUUUGUAAAUAAUCUCCAUAUAAUUAUGUUUAAUUAAGGGAGUUUGAGUCUAUGGGGACUCAAACUAUUGCCCUCAUAGUCAUGUUUUACUUUAAUGGUGUGUUUACUUCAUGGAAUGGGGAAUGAGAAUGAAGGAAUAAGAAUGAAACCUAUAUUUACUUGACAAAAUAUAAUUUGAGAAUAAGAAUAAAAUGUGUGGGUCCCACACAAUUUAGGAAUAAGGAAUGAGAAUCCCAUUCCCGGGGGUUGUGAAUGAAAAUGAGGGAAUGUGAAUGAAAUAUAUGUUUACUUUUGUAUUCCUUUAAUUUUUUCAUAUUUUCUAAAUUACCCUCAUUCAAAUCACAAUUAAUUUUAUUAUUUUAAUUUAUCAAAAUUUUUAUUAUUAUUUUAAAUGUCAUUAAUAAUAAUAAUUAUUAUUAUUAAAUUUUAUUAACUUUAUUAUUUUAGUUAUUAUUAAUUAUUGUUAUUAUUAUUUUUAUUAAAAAUANNNNNNNNNNNNNNNNNNNNNNNNNNNNNNNNNNNNNNNNNNNNNNNNNNNNNNNNNNNNNNNNNNNNNNNNNNNNNNNNNNNAAAAUACCCAUAGUAUUAAUAAUUAAUAAAAAUAAUUAAUUUAUCAUUAUUAACAAUAUUAUCAUUAUUGUUGUUAUUAUUACUAUUAUUAUUAUUAUUAAAAAUAAUAUUAACAAUAAUUAAUAAUAACCAAAAUAAUAAAGUCAAUAAAAAUUAAUAGUAAUAUUAUUAUUAUUAUUAUUAUUAUUAUUAUUAUUAUUAUUAUUAUUACUAUUAAAUUUUAUUGACUUUAUUAUUUUGGUUAUUAUUAAUUAUUGUUAAUAUUAUUUUUAAUAAUAAUAAUAAUAGUAAUAAUAACAACAAUAAUGAUAAUAUUGUUAAUAAUGAUAAAUUAAUUAUUUUUAUUAAUUAUUAAUACUAUGGGUAUUUUGGUAAAUUGAUUUUCAUUCCCAUUCCUCAUUCUCAUUUAUUUUGUCAAGUAAAUACAUCAAUGACAUUUCAGCACAUUCUCAUUCCCAUUUAUUUUUGCCGAGUAAACAUUAAAAUCUCAUUCUCAUUCCAGCUCAUUCUCAUUCUCAGCCCAUUCAUAUUCUACCACAUUCCCAUUUCAUGACGUAAACGCACCAUAAGGUCAAUGGUUCGCCACUGGGCUAAAGCCUAAGUGGCUAAUUUAACUUAAUAACAACUAAAUUUACUCUCAUGGAUUCAAACAUCAACUAUUUUAUUUUUAAUUCAAAUGAUUUACAACUGCAUUAAUUAGUACCCACAACGUGAUUAUUAAUAUACUUACAAAGUAAUAUAUCUCAUUUAUAUUAAAUUAUCAAUAUAUUUGUAGAAAAUUAAUUUUAUAUUAGCACAAAAGUUUAAAAUAUAUAUUUUUUAUGUAAAAUUUAUACAUAGAAAAAUUUCAUCUUGGUAGGUAAAACUAUCGCCUCAAUGAAAAUAUUAUUUUCAAAUUACAAAAAUGAAUUUUUAGAUUUUGAAUGGUCACAACAAAUUUAUCCGUGGAAGUUUUGUCAUACAUCAUCACUCUUUUGUUAUCCUUUUUAUUAAUUUGAAAACUUUCACAUUUUUUUCUAAUUUCUACCGAAAAUAUAAAUACUCACAUUGUGACAUUUUUGUUUUGGAAACCCUAGCCGCUCUUCUCAAAUCGUCAAACACACUCACUCACGUCAAACCCUCACAAGCCAGCAAGCAAGCAGUCAUUGCCGUCUUCAUCCUAUGCCUGUUACGGUCCUUUCCAUUAGCCAGUAGUCGUCACCGCAUCUCACUUUCUCUGUAUGCAAAUCCUAGACCUGCGAGCCGAAUCAAGUGGUGGAUUUCAAUCAGAGGCCAUCGUUGACCGUUAGAAAGAGCCAUCAUCUCUUGCGCUGCCAAAGCAUGGAGAAGGUUGGGGAUCAAAUUCAUUAAAACCGAUCGGGUAUACCUUAUAAAAAAAAAAGGGCAAAAACAGUGAAAGUCGAAUCCCUAAACCUAAUUCCUAGAUUCCCAAUUUUCUAAAGCCACAAACCCGAGGAAUUCUUAGCCAAGCAGGUGGAUUUUUAAUUUCUCUAUUUAUAGGUGUAAAAAUAAGAAUUUUAUUAUUUGAAAUUGUUUUAUUCUCUAACCAGAAUUAAAAACAUGGGCAGGGAUUGCAGCAAGAUGAAAAGCUACAAAAAGCCUAGAAAGAAACCAAAGCUAGGUAGGAAAACCUUUAUUUAUUUAUUUUCUGCUAUAUAUGUGAAUGCAAAAUAAGUUAUCAGUUCUCUAUCUAGAGUGUGAACAUAGCGAAGUUCGAUGAUUUAUUUUAUUUUUUAAAAAUUAUAUGAACUAUUUUUAUAUAGAUUUUGGCAUCAAGUAAUAUACUACAGUCUACAGUACAUGCAGGCCAAUGUAAAUUUGAGCCAUAAGCUUGUUUUCCUUGGCUUUAGUAUGGGGCUAAGUGAGCAUUGUUCUGUAUAAUCUAUUUAAUUCUAUUUGGUAGAGCCAAGUGUUUAAAGCUGAUGAUGGAAUGGAAUCGGCCUGAAUUUUUUAAAUCUUAACAUUUGGAUUUAGAAUGAACUUUUGAAAACUUGCUAGUUCAUAAUUCUGAAUAUUGUUUCUUUUUUUGGCCAAUGCGAAGUUGUGUCAGCUUGGUAUUGUGGUUUUAAAUCCUUUUAUAAAAGAUAAUUGUUAAACGUUUGUUUGCCCCCCAAAAGAUUUAUUUACGAAUCUUGUUAUGUAUUUUCCACAGAAUUCUUCGUGAGGGAAAGGAAUGCCGGAGACUAUGAACCCAAAGGAAAACAUGACGACCUUCAAAAGUAGUAGAAGGCAUCCAAGAAGUAUCCAAAAUCGAGCCAGAAAAAGAGUUUUCAGGUUUGAAGUUGUUUCCUUUGGUAUUGUUUAUCGUUGUAAUUUAUAAUUGAAUAUUUUGAAUUUGUUGUUUUAGUAAACCAAAUAUUUCAUCAUUUGUUGUUUUCAGUUCAUUUUUUACAAUACUUGCUCCAAUGCAAAUCAGUGACCUGACCUGAAUUAGAAAUCCAAACCACUUUGUAACCCAAACCGACCCGAAAAACUGCGAAUUGAAACCAAACCAAACUGACUUUGAUACCAAACCAAACUGAAAUAACUUUUCAACCCCUUUGGGUUGAAUUCUUGAACCCAAACUGGUUGUAAUCUAAAUUGAAAACUGAAAACACCAACAAAAAACUGAAAUGUGCGACCCUAUUCAAGACUAUUGUAGUGUCUUAUAAGGUGAGGUUGAUUUCGAGCUCUCCUUGAAGGUAUGAUAUGCAAUCUGCUGUUUUUUUUUUAAUUCUAUUGUCCUCUAUCAUUAUUUGUAAACAUGUUAAGAUUUUGGUUUAUGCUUAUUGUUCUGUAGUAAGCUCACCAAUGUGUAGUUUUUGAUACAAAUGAUAAAAGGGCUAUUAAUAUUAGAUGAUGCUAUUUGAUGAUUUAUAUUAUUCAUGCAAUCAAGUUUGUUCUUGUUCAUUGUAGAUGUAUUCUCCAUUUAUCUUCGAAGCAAUCAAGUUUGUUCUUGUUCAUUGCAUAUUGAAAUUUUAACCGUUUCUUAUAAAUAAAGUUGCUUUGAGUUUCCAACUUCAUAAAAGCAAUAAUAUUUAUCUUAUGGUGAGCAACAGUAUCAUCUGCUGUACGGCCAAGGCGGAUGUACGGUACAGCAGAUAUAGCAGCAUUUGAAGUCUAGCUUUCGGAAGCUGUAAAUUGAUUUAGUUUUGUAUUGGUUUUAUGUGAUGUAAAAAAUUUUAAAACAUGUUUAGAUGAAUGGAAAUUUUGAUUUCCUUUACUUUUUAGAGCACUGGAUAAAUUAAUAGUGCAUUAUAAUUUCAUUUACAAACAAAUGCCAAUAAACCAUUUAAAAAAAAUUUAAACACGCCUAGAUCAUAAUAAUAAAUGUUGUUACUAUAUCGUUAUAUUUUCAUAAUGCCAUACAUUAGUCAUAUUAAACAUUGAAAAAUUAUUUUAGUUAAGUCCUGAAAAUUUGAAAAAUUUUUUAAAAGAGGGUGGUACUCGUUGAGACAAAAAUGAUGUUAACAAAUUAUAAUUAUUUAAGUGAUAAAUGAGCAUAAAUGUGAACAAAGGUCAAAAUUUCAAAUAUAGAUGAUGAAACUCAUGAUCGAAUCUCGCGAGGUGUUGAGUAAUGAUUUCGACCAAAAAAUGAUAUUUCAACACUUAAAAGUUUUGUAACUUGCAAAAAUCAAUUGCAUAAUCAAAAUGUUAAUGAUAUCUUAAUAAUCUAAAAGAGUGCAAAAAUAGCGUAGGACAUAUGUACAUUCUUAUUAUAUUUAAUUAUAAAUCCCACAGGAUAUGAUAUUAAUAAUAAUAACUGUAGUAAUAUCCAACAAGCACACAUAAAAAAAAAAAUAGAGAUGUUCAACUAAAAUAGAUUAACUAAGCUUUAAUCUUGUAAAUUAAAGUAUUUUUGUAACUUAACUUAUAUCAUCAUAGCUUUAGAAGCAUAGCAAUUGCAAUCCUUCUUACUUGUUAUUUAUUUAUUUACCGUUGACGUUAUGGAAAACUAAAGCAAUUAAUUUGAAAAGUAAAGAGAAAAUGAAAAUAAAUGUAUAGAUUUAUUUUUAAUAUAAUUAAACGUUAUUAAUUAAAAUGAUUACAAUGAGAAUAGAUAUGUAUAAAAAUUAAAAGCUGAAGUAUACAUACAAUCAAAUUCAAAAGAUUGCAUGAAGUAAUGAAGAUGAAAAAAAAAAGGACUUGGAUUAUGGACUCAAAAUGUUGAAAAUGAUGAAGGGUUGCAAUAAAAAAAUUCUUAGUAUUAUGUGGUAAAUUGAUAUUUGUUAAAAUAGUAAGGGGUCAACCAUAAUUUGCCUUAUUGAUAUUAUUGUUAUUUUCAACAAGUAAUUUAUUAUUAGUAAAAAAAAGGACCUGAAACAUGUACUGGUAGUGUUGGAAUAUAAUAAAAAUAAUAGGAACAUAAAACCAUUAUCAGAGUUUAACAAGAGUUGAGGAGCAUAACUUAAAAGUUUGAAAAACUUAACAAGAAUAGGAUAAAGUUUAAUCAUAAGUCGAGAUUUAGAAAAUGAACUUAAAAUAUCUAAGUAAAAUGUUAGAAAUCAAUUAAAAGAGUUGGAAUACAGAACAAAAAAAUAGUGGGAACAAGAGUAGAAGAAGUUAACCUAAAAGUUGAAAUAACUUACCAUGAAUUUGAUAAAUUCAAACCGAAGUAGGGAUCUAAAAAGUAAAUUUGACAUAUUUACCCAAAAUUUGAAAUUCAAUAAAAAGAGUAGGAAUAUUGAACCAAAAAGUGGUGAAAAAAUAAGUUGGAACAACUUAGAUUUUUUAUAUUUUUUAUAUAAUUUCUCUUUAAUUUAAUUAUAUAAUUAAAUUACAUGCAAUAAACCUACAAUUCAAGACUGCUGUACGGCCAAGGCGGAUGUACGGUACAGCAGAGAUUUAGAAAAUGAACUUAAAAUAUCUAAGUAAAAUGUUAGAAAUCAAUUAAAAGAGUUGGAAUACAGAACAAAAAAAUAGUGGGAACAAGAGUAGAAGAAGUUAACCUAAAAGUGGCCGUACAGCAGUAUGAAUUUGAUAAAUCAAACGCGAAGUAGGGAUCUAAAAAGUAAAUUUGACAUAUUUACCCAAAAUUUAAAAUUCAAUAAAAAGAGUAGAAAUAUUGAACCAAAAAGUGGUGAAAAAAUAAGUUGAAACAACUUAGCGAUAACUAGAUAAAGUCUAACAGGAUAUAGAGAUAUAAAAAAUAAACUUGAAAUGUUAACCUAAAAAUUUGAAAUUUAAUAAGAAGAGUGGAAAUAUAGAACAAAUAACUGGUGGAAAAAUGAAUUGAAACAACUCACCAAGAAUUUGAUAAAUUUUAACGAAAAGUGGGGAUCUAAAAAUUAAACUUGAAAUUUCCAAACAAAAAUUGGGAAUUCAAUAAAAAGAGUAGGAAUAUAGAACCAAAAAGUGGUGGAAAAAAGAGUUGAAGAGGUUAACCUAAAAUUCGGAAAGAGUUACCAAGAAUAUGAUAAAUCCAACAAUAAUUAUGGAUCAAAAAAUAAACUUGAAACAUUCACAAAAAAUACUUAAAUUAAAUGAAAAGAGUAGAAAUAUAGAACAAAAAAAAUGGUGGAAACAAGAGUUGAGGAGCAUAACCUAAAAGUUCGAAGAACUUAGAAGAAUAUGAUAAAGUUUAACAAUAAGUUGAGAUCUAUAAAAUGAACUUGAAAUAUUUAACCAAAAUAUUAGAAAUUAAUUAAAAGAAUUGGAAUACAAAAACAAAAAGUAGUGGGAACAAGAGUGGAAGAAGUUACCCAAAAGUUGAAAUAACUUAACAAGGAUUUGAUAAAUUCCAACGCGAAGUAGGGAUCUAAAAAGUAAAUUUGACAUAUUUACCCAAAAUUUGAAAUUCAAUAAAAAGAGCAGAAAUAUUGAACCACAAAGUGGUGGAAAAAUAAGUUGGAACAACUUAACGAGAACUAGAUAAAGUCUAACAGGAUAUAGAGAUAUAAAAAAUAAACUUGAAAUAUCAACCUCAAAAUUUGGAAUUGAAUAAGAAGAGUCGAAAUAUAGAACGAAUAACCGGUGGAAAAAUGAAUUGAAACAACUUACUAAGAAUUUGAUAAAUUUUAAUUGAAAGUGGAAAUUUAGAAAUUGAACUUGAAAUUUCCGAACAAAAUGUUGGAAUUCAAUAAAAAGAGUAGGAAUAGAGAACCAAAAAGUGGUGGAAAAAAGAAUUGAAGAGGUUAACCUAAAAUUCGGAAAUAGUUACCAAGAAUAUGAUAAAUCCAACAAUAAGUAGGGACCAAAAAAUAAACUUGAAACAUUCACAAAAAAUACUUAAAUUAAAUGAAAAGAGUAGAAAUAUAGAACAAAAAAAAAUGGUGGAAACAAAAGUUGAGGAGCAUAACCUAUAAGUUUGAAGAACUUAACAAGAAUAUGAUAAAGUUUAACAAUAAGUUGAGAUCUAUAAAAUUAACUUGAAAUAUUUAACCAAAAUAUUAGAAAUCAAUUAAAAGAAUUGGAAUAAAGAACCAAAAAGUAGUGGAAACAAGAGUAGAAGAAGUUAACCCAAAAGUUGAAAUAACUUAACAAGAAUUUGAUAAAUUUUAACAGAAAAUAAAGAUCUAAAAAUUGAACUUGAAAUUUCUAAACAAAAUGUUGGAAUUCAAUCAAAUGAGUAGGAAUAUAGAACGAAAAAGUGGUGAAAAAAUAAAUUGAAAUAAUUUACCAAAAACUAGAUAAAGUUUAACAAAUUGUAGAGAUAUAAAAAUAAACUUGAAAUAUCUAUCUAAAAAACUGGAAGUUGAUGAAAAGAGUGAAAAUAUAGAACCAAAAGCUAGUAGGAAAAUGAGUUGAAACAACUUACAAAAAUUUAGAUAAAUCAUUACUAGAAAUAGAAAUUUGAAAAGUAAACUUGAAAUAUGCAUUAUAAAUAUUGGAAUGUGACAAAAUAAGUAGGAAUGUAACCAUUUUGUGAUAUGUUUAUAUUUUUUGUACUAUUUUUAAAUUUUAAAUUAUUACAAUCUUUUUCCUCAUUUAAUUAAAAUUUUAUUCUUUUUUUUCCAAAUUUUUUCAUAAUUUUUUCACAUUAAAAACAAAUAAAAAUAUAAUUUUUAUUAUAUUAUCCAGUUAAAAACCGGUUGUACCGGUUGCAUGCAUGCGCUGUAUGAGAUACAGCGCUGCAUGGUAGGUUGACUCCUUGGGCUGAUGCAGGAAUUGGAAUAAUCAAUGCUGAAAGAGAUCGAGCUGACCCAGUCUUGAUGUCCCAGUCCCCACUGGUAUGACUGGCUAGUAGAUAAGGGCCAUAAGUACCGCAUGGAUAGACGCAUAUUCAGGCCAGUCAUCUGGACAUGAAAGCUUUGUCAAUCGAAGAUCAUGCACUAGAGAACAAAAGCGAAAGAAUAAAAUAAAACUGGGACCAAGCAUAUUUUAAAAUGAUAAAGCUACGAAAAGGGUCACUACACCCUGAAUAGCCUCUGUCCUUAGUCUAAGUGUCAAACAAGGUACACAUCCCCAGGACCCCUCACGUCAAUUUGUACUCCCUUCUUAUCAAUUUCCUAUCUAGACAUUCUUUCAAAUUUGUUUGACAUCUCUUUGGUACCCAAAGCCAUCAGACAAUUCAGAUCGUAUUUGUCAAAUAUAAGAUAUUGGAGAUUAAAUUCAGGAGUAAUAUUUUUUCCACAUGUAUAUGUUAAAUGAAUGCGAAUAUUACCUGCUUUGAAGAUAAUUUCAAGGUCAUUCCAAGGUAAGGAUACCAAGAGACUUUUUGAUUCAACACAAUAUGUCCAGAUUUCCAGUCAGGUGAGCUGGAUAUAUACAGGAUGAUGUAAAGACAAAGAAUGUUUCCUUUCUCUUUGAAGUAUAUGGAAUCUCAUAACUUCAAGAAUGAUUUAAUUCCCACACGGUCACAGGAAGAGAACUAUCUCUUGGCCGGAGCAAUGAAAGAGAUUUAUCUAACAUCAAAGGAUACAAGAAAAAAAUCUGGCGAGAAAUGCCUAGUGGCUAGUGGCAUACCAAGUUCUUGGUCAUAACCACAUAAAAAUGAGAAAAACAAAUCAUGAGAUUAAAAAAAUGUCGAGUGAUGUUCAACCUAUAGAAAGGAAAAAUUGAAUCUACUCAAUGAAUCCCCAACCUGUGCCAUAACAGCUCCAAAAGGAGUUGAACUUAUGGAAAAUUAACAACAUAAAUUGACUAAAGUAUAAUCAGAAUAACUUUGCCCUUGCAGUUAAGACUCCACAGAUUUGUCUGCUAUCUGUUGCACAAAGCAUCUUAUAGACCUACUUGAUUGCAAAAGUCACCCAAUUAGUACCAUGACAAGAUUUUUGGGGAAGAGAACCCAACUCCUCCUAAGCACUUCCCUCAUAGGUGAUCCUAUCGUCUUCUUUCAACUCUGGUUCUAACAAAGUACAAAUAUGCGUAAUAGGGAUAGAGUUUAGAAGACGUUGAGUCUCCACAGCAGUUGGGUACUUCAAUAGCAUAUUCUUCUGUCUUUGAGAACCUCUAUAUGUGUAGGAGAGUUGGAGGAGAAGGCAAGGAUAUAGCACAUGAACUUGAGAGGUAUAUACAGUUUUCAAGCGAUCAUACGAGGCCAAAAGUGUUAGGAAUUUCCCCAAGUUAAAAUUAAAAUACUUUCAUGGUAAAGGAGUAGAAACUCCUGGAAAACUUUCUGCAUUAAGUAUUCCACACUUAUGUUCUUAUCGCCUAACAACAAAAUUCGAGUCAUACAAAUUCUACCGUGUUAAAAUUGCCUUCUAAUUUCUAAAGUGAAAGCAUGAAGAUCAGUUGCAAUACGGAGUCAACAAAGGCUGGAUUUAACAAUGUAGCAAGCUUUGAAAUAGAAAAAGGAUUGAGUGAGUAUCAUCCUAUCAGCUUUUUGCAAAGGGAGCAAAGAGGAAUUUCUUCUGGUGCCAUUAAUAAGCAUAAGAGAUGAAUCUUACACUGUUUAUUUCAACAUUCAGUCUUAAAAAGAACAAACAUCUUUGUUGAUAAAUUAGAUGUUUAUUAAAAUUUAGAAUCUGUAAUGGAAAAUUUUCAAUACAUUUAUUUUUUAUUUUUUGUCCUUUUUACAACUUAUAAUUGUUGUGCAAAUUUUAUUAAACUUGCAAGCGCACGAAUCUAUUGUAGAAUAGAUUAAUGGUGACGAGUGUCGAUCCCACGAGAAGGUGAAUUUUAAUUGUGUGUAGAAUUAAUUUUUUUAAAUGGGUAGUUGGAUUUAUGGUAAAGAUGAUUUGGAAUAUCCUAAUAUUUGAAUUGAAAUGACAGAAUUAAAUUAAAGUGGAAACUAUAAUAAUUGUAGCGCUUGGGUAUCUAAAUCCGUAUCAACAUGCACCAUGGGCUAAAUAUUCCUUAUUAGUGUCAAUUAAAUUAUGAGGAGGGAAUCCACACCUCAUGAACCACACUCUAAUCAAUAUGGUGCUAAGGGUUUAUCGUGCCAAAUAAUAAUAACCUUAUAAUAGGGAGCUGGUGAAACCAGGACGGUAUCUAGAUAAGAUUAUUAUUAUUUAUCGACGAGAAGUCAAAACAUCCACAAAAACUAUAGGGGAAGAGAAAAUAAAUUUACCAAAUAAAGCCCAUGACACAUGUUGAGACUUCACCUUCAACCCAAGAGAAAACUAGGGGCAAAAUGAAAAUUUAUUAAAAUACGUAGAAAAUAUAAGAUAGAGAAUGAAUUAUAGAAAAUGGAGUCCAAAAAUGAAUUUAGAGAUAUCAAAUUAGGGGGGGAGGCCCCUUUUUUUAUAGAUACAUUGAGUAAAUCAUGGCCAUCGAAUUAAAAACAGUUUGGACGCUCAGGAUUGCGCCACGUCAUCAGUCAAUAGUAACACGGUUUGACCCGGCUUGAACAGUGACGCGAUUUGAUUGAAAAUAAUCUUGUAUAAUGCAUGUACCAUACGCAAGAUUUUUGGUCCACUGAUAUGCUGCCACGUCAUCGAUCAAAAUUACAUAAGAAUUUUAGUCCAACAAGAUCGUGACACCUCAUCAAUCAAUGCCACGUCAUUGGUCAAUGCCACGUCAUCGUUCCGUCUAUUUGAACAGUGUCGUGAACAGUAACGUAGACAAUACCGUACAUGUGAACAAUGUUAUUUUUUCUUUUAUGCUCCUUCUAAGGUUUUCGACUGUCCUGAGUUCAAAAGUGAUGUCCGUUUUGCCGUCUGAUCUCUCGUUCAUUAUGAAAUGACUAUGAUACCCCUAAAAUACAUAAAAUACUUAAUUAUAAUACAACACACGUAAUAAAAUGACAAGAAGCUUAAAUACAUAAAAGUAAAGGUGUUAGUAAGACUUAAAAUGUAAAAUGACGAUUUUCACCUUUAUAAAUAUACAUUUUCUAACACUCAACAGUAAUUCCCCUUUGUUAUAUACAUGAAGUCUUAAUUAAUUAACUCCUUGUUAGAUUGAUUAAAUUAAGAUACAAAGAAGCUCUCGUAACUUUAUAUGCGAUUUUGCAUAAUUUUUAAUCGACUAUGUACAAAUGUUCCACAAUAUCUUUCAAAUGAUGCCUUCGCUUCAAUCAGAUUUUUAGACGCUUUAAUUACACUACUCACUCAGUGAUUCCCGCUGCACUGACAAGGCAUUUGCUAUGUUUGGCUCUUAAGAAAUUAAAAGAGAAAGGAGGAAAAUCUUGUGAGAUUUUUAGAUCAUAUUUGAGUAAUGAAUUGUAAAUGUUUUAUUCAAUCGACAAUGUACAAAAUUGCUGGUAUAUAUAGUUGUUCAGUUUUAGAAUCCAGUUCAGCAACUUAGAUUUAUAAAUUAACAAACUCUAAAGUGUGUAAGCUAUAUUUUGAUCACAGCCAUUCAUUCAUAACUAAUUUGUUACAUCACAUAAUAGCUGUGGAAUCUCUGUAUAACUGUUCUGCCAACUGGAAUAUUCUUCCUCUGCACAUGAGGAUUGCAUCACCUUACCUGUGUGAGCAUCUCCUUUGGUUAUCAAGUAAACUCCAGUUGGCACACCCACAUGAGUUGAUCCAGGUUCAGCUUCAUUCUCAAAUUUAACAUCCCUUCUCAAACUUAAGUCUCUAGAAAGACUUUAAGUUUGUUUUUGAAGAAGCUGAACUUGGAGUAAGUGAGUGGUUUAGUUAUCACAUCUGCUGUUUGAUCAUUGCUGGACACAAAAGCAAUUUCAAUUUCUUUCUUCUCAACUUUAUCUCUGAUGAAAUGAAUAUCUAUCUCUAUGUGUUUGGUCUUACAGUGACGUACUGGAUUUGUAGCAAUUACAGUUGCACUUAUGCUGUCACUUAAUAACAGAGGAGUGUAGUUAAGUUUUAUACCCAACUCUUUCAGUAAUGAACAUAUCCAUGUUAUUUCUGCACCUGCUAAUGCCAUGGCUCUGUAUUCAGAUUCAGCUGAAGAGUUUGAUACCACACUUUGCUUCUUUGAACUCCAGCUAAUCAAAUUGUUACCUAAGUAUACACAAUAACCACUAGUAGAUCUUCUAUCAUCAGGAUCACUUCCCUAGUCAGCAUCUGAGUAGGCUAUAAGAUCAAAGGAAUCAGAUUUCUUGAAUGUCAAACCAUAGUCAAUUGUUUCCUUUAGAUAUCUGAGUACCCGUUUACAAGCUGUCCAAUGUGGUUGCAGAGGAUUGGCCAUAAACUGACUUUUAACUUGUUAACUGCAUAAGCAAUUUCAGGCCUAGUUAACAUAGCAUACUGCAGCCCUCCAAUAGCUUUUCUGUAUUGAGUUGAGUCGGCACAUUUUUCUCCCACAUGUUUGCUCAACUUUUCAGUAGUUGCUAGUGGAGUAUCUAAGCCAUUACAGUUCUUCAAAUCAAAUUUAAUAAGCAGCUCCUUUAAGUAUUUGGACUAUGACAGUACCAAAGUAUCUUUAUUUCUUGUAACUUCAAUGCCAAGGAAGAAGUUUAGUUAACCCAAAUCUUUGAGAGCAAAAGCAUUUCCAAGAUUACAAAUAAGCUGCUCUAUUUCAACAUUAUUACUCCCAAUGACUAUGAUAUCAUCAACAUAAACUAACAAGAUGAUUAGAUCAUUUUCAUUUUGUUUGAAAAAUAAGGAAGUGUCUGAUUUUGCUCGACAGAACUGCCAUGAUUCAAGAACUGACUUUAAUUUAUCAAACCAGGCUCUUGGUGCCUGUUUUAAACCAUAAAGAGCUUUCUUCAAUGUACAAACAUAUCUUGGGUGAUCUGCAUCCACAAAUCCUUCAGGCUGAGGCAUACAUACUGUUUUAGUUAACUCCCCAUUUAGAAAUGCAUUAUUAAUGUCAACCUAUCUCAACUUCCAGUUAUUUAUCACAGCCAUGCUUAGAAUAAUUCUUAUAGUAGUUGCUUUUACUACAGGGCUGAAAAUCUCCUGAUAAUCCACUUCUUCAGUUUGCAAAAAGCUCUUUGCUACUAACCUGGCUUUGUAUCUAUUUAUUAUUCCAUCUGAUUUUUGUUUUACUCUAAAAAUCUAUUUAUUUCCCACAAGUUUCAUAUGUUGUUCUAGUGGAACCAAACACCAGGUCUGAUUUUUAAUUAAAGCAUUGAACUCAUCCUGCAUGGCUAGCUUCCAGUUGUUAUCACUUAAAACUUCAACAACAAUUGAUGGUGUUUCCAAAGACAAGGCUUUUUUAGUGUUUUAAACUUUAGGCUUAAAAAUUCCAGCUUUGGCUCUAGUUAUAAUAGGAUGUGAGGGAUUGAAUUUAGGAGUGGUUUGAGUCAUUUCAGGAUUUUAGUUUUGAACUUCAGUGUUUUCAGUUGCAGCAGAAUGAUCUAAAGUAUCCUGGAUUUCUGAGUGUAUAUUUGAAACAUUGUUUGGUACUGGAUGAGUUUGGUUAUGAUAGUUGUUAGGGUCUUGAUCAUUAGGGAAAGUAAAAUCUUGAAUUGCAUUUUCAGAUGAGUUUGACCUUGUUGUUGUUGCCUCAUGACUAUAACUUUCAGAAAGAAAAGUCACUAUGAUGAAUUUACUGAAUGAGUUUAAAGACUCAGAUGAUUGAUUCUGUUUUGAAUUUAUGAAUUUUGGAUUUGUUUUGAGAGGAAAAAAACUUCCAUUGAAGUUGACAUGUGCUGCUAUGUAUAUUAUUUCAUUUGAGUUUAGACACAUGUAACCUUUGUAAAACUGACUGAAUCCUAGAUUUACACAUGUAGAAGUAUGAAAGUCGAAUUUAUGUCUAUUAUAAGGUCUUAUGAAAGGAUAGCACUCAGCCAAAUAUGUUGAUGAGAGAAUAAUCUGGUUUCUUUGAGUAAAGGGAUUUAAAGGGAGUCUUGUCAUUUAAAAUAGGUGCUGGUUCUGUUUAUGAGAUAUGUGGCAUUAGAGAAGGCUUCCCACCAAAAUUUCAAAGGUAAUCUAGAUUGAGCAAGAAGGGUCAAUUUAGUUUCUAUAAGGUGUCUGUGUUUCCUUUCAGUUUUUCCAUUUUGAUUAUGGAUGUAUGGACAUGAGUAUCUUAAAGAAAUGUCUUCAUGCUUUAGGUAUGGUUCAAAGACUUUAUAUUCUCCUCCCAUGUCACACUGUAAGGCUUUAAUUUUUAGUUCAAGGCUUUUCUCAACUUGGUUUUUGACAGAAAUGAAUGUUGUGAGUGCUUGUAAUUGGUUUUGUCAUCAAUGAAAGCUAUAUAAUAUCUAAAACCUUGAUUGGAUUAAGUGGGUGCAGGGCCCCAAAGAUCACUGUGAAUAAUCUCAAGAGAUUUUGAGAUUUUUGUUUCACUGUGUUUGAAUGACAGUCUAUGUUGUUUUCCAUACUGGCAAGCUUUAUAGAAAAAUAAACCAGAUGUUCUAUUUCGAAAAGAGAUAUUACAAGUAGACAAGGUUUUAAGAGCAUUGACAUUAGGGUGGCCUAAUCUCAUAUGCCAUAUAUCAAGCAACUUGUUGCUUGUACAAUGUUCAUUACAAUUGACAGACAACAUAGACUCAGGACCAAGUAUUUUAUUUACUGUAAGUAGACUAGGAGUAAUAGUUGAAGAUAACAAAAUUGACUUGGAUUGACUGGAAUCAUGAGGCAAACUCAGCAGCUUGUACAAUCCAUCUUUAGCCAUUCUUUUCAAAAGAACACUCUCCCUUCUCUUGUCCUUGACAACACAACAAGUUCUAUGGAAUUCAAUAGAAACAUCAUUAUCAUAUAAUAGUUUUAAAAUGCUAAUAAAGUUUUUGGUUAUUUCUGGAACAUUAAGGAUGUGGUUAAGUCUGAUAUGAGAUAAUGUGUGUGAAUUAAUUGUGCUGAGCAGUGAGUGACCAACAGAAACUAUUUUGAGUUUAGCUCCAUUACCUACUACCAGCUGAUCACAUCAUUUGUAUUUAGAACUGAUGUUGAGAUUUUUGAAGUCAUUUUAAAUGUGAUUUGUUGCACCACUGUCAAGAUACCAAGCUCCAUCUCUGUGUCCUCCAUUCUCAGCUAUGUAUGCACUCCUCUUAUUAGGCACUUGAUUUGGCAUAUAGUUCUUCUUGAACUUGUACUAACAGUGAGCAGCAGUAUGAUUUUUUCUGGAAUAGAUCUGGCAUGGUCCCUUAGGUUCUUCUUCAUCAAUAGGAUUUUUGCCUUUGAAUUUGUCUAAUGGAUUCAUGACAUGAUUGAAAUUGUUUCCACCAGGUUGUUUUCCAUUUUAACUUCCAGCUGGUCUUCUAACAUAGUUGUUAUUAUUUCCACCAAAGUUGAAGUUUGGCUGCCAAUUCCUCAUUUGAUUUUCUUUGUGAUAAGUCAAAUUAGCUUGAUAAUCCAUGUGACUGACAGAGUGUUGAUAUUCAAUUAUGUUUUUAUGACUCAUCAGCAUUCCAUACACAUCAGAAAGAGUUGUGCCUUCAGGUUGUGCAUUGAUUGUGGUAACAAUUGAAUCAUAUUCAGAUCCAAGGCCAGCAAGCAAGCACAACACAAAAUCUUCAUCACUCAUAUUACUUCCAGCAGCUCUCAGUGCAUCAAAAGUGGUUUUAAUCUUAGUGUAGUACUUAUGAAUAAUAAUUGAUCCUUUCCUGGUAGUCUGAAUUUGAGUCCUCAAAUGGAGAACUCUAGCUCUGGAUCUAGCUUCAAACUAAGUUGCAAGAAUUUGCCACACAUCCAGAGAAGAUCUGGUUCUAACUACAGCACUAAGAACUUCUUCACUUAAGGUUGAAAGCAACCAGCUCAUCAGCUGCUGAUAAUUUCUCCUCCAGAUCUGGUUGUGGAUUUAGAGUUGUGAUUACUAUUUGAUCACUGUCAAUAUUAACCGUAACUCAAUUAGGUGGAAUCUUUGAGUUAUCAAUCAAAUCUUCUAGAUCGUUUGCAUUGAUUGUUGCUAUCACUUGAGAUCGCCAUAGCAAAUAGUUGUUAUUAGUAAGCUUGAUAGGCGCGUUGAAGAUAAGUGAGCUGAGAACAGAGGUGCUGACAUUUGAGAUUUGAUUUGUGUUUACAGUUGAGCUUGAAGCUCCAUUGUUAUUUGUUUGAUUUUCAUUACUCUCCAUUGUUUCUUCUCAGAGCUCUGAUACCAUGUGAGAUUUUUAGAUCAUAUUUGAGUAAUGAAUUGUAACUAUUUUAUUCAAUCAAGAAUGUACAAUGUUGCUGGUAUAUAUAGCUGUUCAGUUUUAGAAUCCAGCUCAGCAACUUAGAUUUACAAAUUAACAAACUCAAGUAAAUUGUGUAAACUAUAUUUUGAUCACAACCAUUCAUUCAUAACUAAUUUGCUACAUCACAUAAUAGCUGUGGAAUCUCUGUAUAACUGUUCUGCCAACUGGAAUAUUCUUCCUCUGCACGUGUGGAUUUCAUCACCUUGUGUGAGCAUCUCCCUUAGUUAUCAAGUAAACUCUAGCUGGCACACCCACAUGAGCUUAUCUAGGUUCAGCUUCAUUCUCAAACUUAACAAAAUCUGUGAGUGAAAGGCGAGUGAGUUUGAGAGAAAAGUUUUAUUUUGUGUUUUGCGAAGAGAAUAUUUGUUUUGUAGUUGUGGCUGAGAUCAUGAAGAAUAAAGUAUUUUCUCCCUAUUCUAAACCUAAUUGUGACACCCCCUCCCCCACGGGUUUAAUUUUUGUGGCGUUUGGUGUAUUAUAAAGUGGUCUAAUACAAAGUUCAUUUUUUGUCAAGCACAAUAUUGUAUUAAUUUAAUACAAUACAAGGUUAAAAUGUGGUGUAAUGUUGAGUGCCAAACACAUCGUAUAUAAAAAAUUAUCAAUUACUAUAAAUGACACAUCACAUGUCAAAUCAUUUAUGAUAAAUUUUGAAAUAAAAUUUUAGAAUACUAGAAAAGUCCAACACAUCAUAUCUCGUUACCUCCCUAUACAUGAAAAUAUUAUUUCCCUUAAUGAAGAAAUUGAGAGAGGUCACCCUAAAACUUUAAUUUAUCUUCACAUUUUACCUAAAUAAUUUACUCUUUUUAGACUUUGACCCUGAAUAUGUGUAAAGAUUAUCAAGUUAUACAAUCAACUUGAGCAACCUCUCCCAAGAUCCCCAAAUCAGAAUUACAAGAUGAAUUAAAGAUUAUCCGAACUUACAAUGAUAAGAAACAACUCAACAGCACCACGAGUUAACAGUAAACAAUCAAAGAAAAGUAAAAGAAACCAAGAAUGAAUCCAGACACAGCAGGUAACGCGGUUCAGUCAAUUCAACAUUGACCUACAUCCACGGAGGAAUAAAUUAACCAUCUUUAUUGAUUAAACCAAGUCUCGUUUACAUUCAGAUUUACAGAACCCUAAUCAAGGAACAAGAGACCUCUCUUUAUACAAGCUCUCUCUCUCCAGAAACCUGUGAAACCCCCUCUGUUUGUUACUCCAGAAUUAGCUUCAACUUUAUAACAACCCAGAAGCAUUCCUAGCAAAGCAUAUGAGCAACAGAUGACUCUAACGACUUUUAAUAGCCUUCACACGUCAUUAAAAAGUCACGCGCGUUGUUCGUGAUUCUUAUAACCAAAACGAUAUAACCAUAGGUCGUUUUGUGAAGAUAUAUAAAGGUAGCAUGAAACACAUAUUACUUUGCCGUUUUGCUUUGUCACUUUGCAGAGGCAAAACGCCGAGCUUCCUAUCGUUUCCUUAACCUUUUUGAUUUGUUUCAUUUUAGUCCAACAAUAUGUACCUCUAUUAUUUUGGCCCCCUUUAAAAUCUAGCUUGGCCUCUAGAUAAAAAAAUUGAUUACAAGCGAAAAUUUAUAAAUUAAAAUUUGGGUAGGUUAUUUGAAUGCCAUAAAAAUACUCUUUACAUUCACCUAAAUUUAUACAAUACCAAAACAUCUAUACAGUAUUUUACCAUCAACUAAACUCAUUUUCAUAAUGACAAUAAUUUAUUUAUUAGAUAAAUUAAACUUAACUUCAUCUUCCUACCCUUUUGUUCCCAUAAUAAAUCCUAAGUCUUCUUAACCACUCUCAAUCUUUUCUGUAAUUUUGUUUCCUUUCAUGCUAUUUGCUUUCAUUUAAUAUUCAAUAUAAGUUGGCAAUGGGAUGGGAUUUCCAAAUUUCAAUCAUGUCUCGUGUAUGUAAAUAGAAUAAAAGAAAAAAUCUCAUUCUCAUCCCAUUAUUAUUUUUUCUAGGAUUAAAAUUUGUCCUAAUCCUAUCCUAUUAAAUAUGUUGUCUCAUCCCAUUAUCCUAAAUAGUCCCAAAUAUAAAUAAAUAAACUUUAAUAUUUUUUAUUUUAAUGAUGAUCAUAAUUCAAUAUAGCAAAAAACUUGAAUAAAUAUAAAGUAGAAUAAUUACAUAAUAGUUUUAUUAUGAAUAAAUGCAUGGUCGAAUACAAUUUUAUACUAACAUUUUUUAAUUGUCUAUUUACUUCAACUGCACGUUGAUAUUAAGACCUACGCUUCAAAGUUAUAGAUUUGGAUAGUAACCAACUUCAACUAUUUUAAUAUGUCCAAUAAUUCAACAAUAUAAUUAUAAACCAAACCAACAGUAAAAGAAAAACCAAAAGUUCAAAGUUUCAACACUAAACCAAAUCAAUCUAGGUUCCAAAGUUUAAGCAAAAAUAAAAAAUUAACAAAAACUUCCAAAACUUGACUUCAAUUAUUAAUUUUAAUUGUGGCUUUUGGCUAACACUUCACUUUCUAAUUAUAUUACUUUAAUUAUUUAAUUUUAGCCUUUAGAUUUCAACUUUGAACGUUAUUUAAGUUAAAAUUAUAAAAUAAUUAAAAAAUUUAAACUAGUUUUAAAAUUAUAAUAUUUAUGAGAUAUAUUAGAUGAGACGAGAUUUUAUAGUUAGUCUUCCUCACGUCCCACAAAUAAAAGCAAAACUUAUUUUUUAUCCUUAUCUCAUCUCCCUUUAAUUUGGGAUGUAAAAAUAUGUUAUAAUCCUAUCUCAAACAAGACGGGAUCCUAGGAUCCCAUCCGAACAGAAAAAAUUACCAUCCCUAACCCCUAGCCAUUAAAAUCUUUCACCCUUGAGUUUUUUUUAUUAUAAAAAUUUGAUAUAAAUAGCACUACAUUAGAAAUACUUUUUAAGUGUGCUUUCUAAUUUUCUCUUUCUUAAUUAUUACCUUAUGUUAUUCUUUUUUAACUAUUUCUUUAAAACUCUACAGAAUAUGUUUUCUUUUAAAGACAAAGAAGUAACAAAGUCCAAAUUAAGUUUUUAACUCAAUACUUCUUCAUUAUACAAGCUUAGUUGACCAAUUAAAUAUAACUAUUUGAAAACCACUCGACAAAGCCCUAGAGUGGUUCUAAAAGAUAUCAAUUGACAUAAUUUUCGGAAUUUAAAAAUUACGAUUCAAAAGCAAAAUUAUAUAUAUAUAUAUAUAUAUAUAUAUCGCUCUCUCUCUCUCUCUCUCUAAAACGGCUGCAAAUUAUUUUUUUGCAGUCAUCUUCAGUGCAAGAAGGCAUUUGCUUGCAAAGCUUAUCUCCUCGUCCUCGGCAAUCAUCUUCGUUGUUCCUGAUAGGUUAAGUCGUCCUCAUCAUCAACAUCAUAAUAAUAAUAAUAAUAAUAAUAAUAAUAAUAAUAAUAAAAAAUGUAAUAGUAGUUCUUUAAUAUUCAAACUUGAUCUUAAAUUAAGUCAAAAAAGUACUACAUAGAACACUAGAAAAAAAUGGUUAUUUUUACCGUCAGUGGAGAAGAGGAAUAAAAGAGUUGAUAAAAGAGAUAAAUUGGCCAUUUUUUUUAAACUUUAAUUUCUUUUUGAACAGUAAUAUCGGUAAGAUAGCGUUUCAGAAAAUAAUCUUAAAAUAUAGAUGAUACUUGAUAAGCAUAGAAAAUUAUUGUUGUACUUUUUUUGAAAAAAAUUCUCUAUUUAUCUUACCAUUGGUAGAGAAACUAACUAAUUUUAGCUCACCAAUUGGGAAAUUGUCGGUCGAACAUACAUGCAACCACAAAUGAUUUUUUUUUCUAGAAGGACCACUUUACCCCUGAAAAUUGUUGCCUAAUCCUUUUCUAAUAAAAAAAAAAAACAGUUUCGUUUACUCUCUUUUUUUUUUUAGUUGGAGAUUGUUUGUUAACGGAGUUUGAAUAUUAAAAAGGCCAAGUGUGCGAAUCUAAUCUCUGGUUGAAGAGAUUUUGGCCUUGAUUGCGGCGAGUAAGGUUUUCACUAUAUAUAUAUAUAUAUAUAUUUGAGACUUUUACUGUCGUUGAUGGAGAAAGCUUAGAGAUAAGGUUUUGAGAGAAGCGAGCGAUGGAAAAUUCAUGGAAGACGAAACACAAAUUAAAUUUUGAAACAGACUUGAAUCAUAUCUUGUAACAACAGCAAUCAUAUUCAAUUUCGUAUUUUUUGUCCCUUUUUUGCAUGUAAUUUUAUAAUGAUUAAAAUACAUAAAUUAUAAGUGACGAUUUAAACAAACAAGUUGUUUAGAUAUACUGAUGUUAACUUAAUAUUUAAAGUAACUUAACUUAAUUAAUUAAAUUAAUUAGAGAUAUUUGUUUUUAUAAUUUAACGAGUCUUUUUAGAUAAUUUUGACUUAAUAAAUAAACUAAUUUUUUUUAUUUUUUUACUGAAUAUAGAAAUUUAAAAAAAAAAUCAACUAAUUUCUAAUGUAAAAAACAUCACUACUUCGUCUAUCCUAAAACCCACUCAUACAUGUUUACCCCACUAACAAUAUCAUCUUUAUUUUUUAGUUGUCAUGAAAUCUCUUCUCACUUUGGAUGAGCGAAUCAACUAUAUCAGCAUUUUAUUAAGUUUUUUUCUUAUAUUAUGUACUAUUAUUGAGAAUUGUGAUAAAAUUUAAAACUUAUGGUAUUUUAUAUAUUAUAAUUCUAAAAUUAUUAUGUAUUCACUUGAACAUGAUUUUGCUUGUAUCUGUUAAAAUAUUAUUUAGUUAUGUUCUUUAAUAAGAAUACAAAUGUAAAAGUAAAUGUUUCUAAUUUUUUAAGUUGAAAAAAUAAAUAAUUUAAUACUUACUUAUAUAUAUAUAUAUAUUAAGACAUUUAAAUUUAUUUAAAAUUCAAAUUAAUUCAGAUUUAUUUAAACUUCAAAUACAACACAAACACCACCUUAGCUUAGACAAUCAAAAUAACUAUUUCACUUUUUACGAAUGAUUUAAUUGAAAAAUAAAUGCAGGUUGAUACAAUUUACAAAUAAUAGGUGGUGCAUAGAUAAUUCAAAAUUUCUUGGUGGUUGUGUUUAUUUAUUUUUUUAUCAAAACUACUUUUUCUCAGUUUUUUAAAAUUUAUUGUAAAUGAAGUGAUUUUACCUUAAUGUCUUUCUUUAAAAUAAUAUUAAAUACUAAAAAUCCUUUUGAGCAUUCCAACAACAAUCUUAUAUUGAGCUUAUGUUUAUUUACUUCACUCACUCAUAGAAAUGUUAAAGAAACCCAAAGGACAAGAACGCAACCAAUUUUAUAAACAAUAUUCGUGCAAGCUUUUGUAAAAAGUGAUGAAUGAUCUAAAUCAAAAGGGUUAUUUAUCGUCAGCCCCCACAUGUUUCGACCAUUAGCACCGGGCACCCACAAGUUUCGACCAUGUGCACUGCACCCCCAUUUCCGUCAAACUACCGUUAACUUAACUCGAAAAAAGGGUAAAAUAAUAAUUUCAUCUAAGAUUAAAAUAAUAAAUAAAAAACAAAAAAAAACUCUUUUUUAUCCUUACUCUUUUUCUCCCUUUUUCUCUCUCUCACGUCUUUUUUCUUUCUUCUCUUCUUCUUCUUCGCGUCUUCUUUCUUUCUCUCUUCUUCUUCUUCUUCGUGUCUUUUUUCUUUCACUCUUCUGCUUCUUUCUUCUUCUUCUUGCCUUUCACUACUGUUGCCCGCUGCGUGAUCUGCCGCCGUCUCAAAUCAACAACAACAAAAAAAUGGCACCCGCUGCGUGAUCUGCCAUCGUUCGAAGCCGCCGACGCCACCGCCUGAACCAGCCACCGUUCCCAUCGCCUCUAUAAUUUAAUUUAGGGUUUUUGAUUUUUAGUUCCUUUUUGUUAAAUUUUCUUGGUUUGGGUUUCUUUUGUAAUAGAAUUUUACAAUGAAAUUUUGGUAUAAUUAUCUUCGGUUUCUUUAUUAUUGGGUUUUGUUUGUUUUGGUGGGAUUAUUGGAAUUAUUUUGUAAUCUACUGAUGAUUUUGUGUUUGAUUUUUUUCUUUCGCUUUGGAAUCAUGCUGUGUCUCUCAUCUUGAAAGUUUACUGGUUUUACAAUUUUAUUAUGAUAAUGAAUGAAGAAAAAAAUCGUUUCAAUAUAAGAUAUUUUAUAAUUAAAUUUUAUUUUUUAAUGUAAAUUUUAUAAGUUGUAAGAGGUAUUUUUGUACUUUUAACUCAAUUCAAUACAAAUUAGGGGUAGUAUGGUAUUUUAAGUUAAUAACAGCCUAAUCAGUUAGAAUUAACUGAUUUUUUGACGGAAAUGGGGGUGCAGUGCACAUGGUCGAAACUUGUGGGUGCACGGUGCUAAUGGUCGAAACAUGUGGGAGCUGACGAUAAAUAACCCAAAUCAAAAUUGCAAGUAAAGUUUAUGGUGUUAUUGCAAUCAAAAUUGCUUUUUCGUCACAUUCGUUUGUACAUGUUGUAUUAUUCUCGCAAAAGUGGUAAAUAGACUUAAAAACAUGGUAAUCUACCACCACCGAAGAUGAAGAAGACCGGAAGAAUCGAUGCAAGAUAGGAGCUGGCUAUUUGUUUUUUUUUUUUUUUUUUUUUUCCUUUCCUUUCUUUAUUUUUGCACAAUGAUGUUUGUGAGAUAGUUUUUCAGAAUUAGUCUAAAUAUGUAGACGAUAAGCUAGCACAAAAACUUGGAACGACAGUGAAAUAAUAUGUGGUUAGUAAUGAAAUUAGUUUAAAAGGUUUUGAAACCUUAUUUUGCUCAAAGCCUUGCAAUUUUUAGGUUUAUUUUUAUUUUUUCGAAAUAGGAAGCAUAUUCAUCAAGACCAAAAGUCAAAUUACAAUGUCAGAAAAAAUAAAAAUCUCCUUAUGAUCUGGCACUUUCUGAGUCACAAGUCGAAACACAUGUUAAAUUAUCCAAAAAACCUCAUUAUGAUUUGGCACUUUCUGAGUCAGAAGUCGAAACACGUGCUCAAUUGCUGCCCAACUCGAAAUGCUAAUGCGUCAGCAUAGUCGUCACUAUCUCUUGUGAAUUACGCACCGCAGCCCACAUCAGCAACAAUCCUGCUACCAUUCCCCCUAGUCACUAUCUCUCAACCAAGAGUGAUUUGAGUCGAGUUAAUUGGAAUAAGAUUGAGAAAGUCUAAAUUCGAAUGUAGCUAUAUCCGGAUAUGUAUUUAUAUUUUCAUAUCCAGAUUUGUUAAUAAAUAUAUGGAUCCGGAUGCAAUCCAGAUUCAGAUUCAUAAAAAUUAAAAUUUGAUAAUUUAAUAUAUAAUUUAAAAUUUAAAAUUUUAAUAAUUUAUUAAUAAUAUCAAAUAAAAUUCAAUCAUAAUCAGACAAUUAGUAAUUUUAACAUGAAUAACAUAUAACAACACCAUAAAUUCAUAAAUAAAAUUUAAUUUUUAAUAUAUAUUUUUAAUUUAAAAUAAACUCAACUAGAUUUAGAUAUUCAGUUUUCUUACUUAUCCCAAUUUUUCACAUCUUGAUGUGUGUUUUUUAAUAUGUGGAUCUCUAUUUUUUGGGAUUUAGAUCUUCCUGAUCCUUGCGGAUGCAGGCAGACUUAGAUUUUAUUGUCAUCAUAAAUUGCAAUCUCUCUCUCUUUCUCCAUCCUUCAAAUGUAAGUUUUUCAUAAAAUUUAAUGUAUGUAAAAUUGUAGUCCCAUUAUAUGUAAUUAUAUGCUGAAAUAGCAGUGCAAAUAUAAAAGUAGAGAAAUAUGAUUGCUCAAAUGAAAAAGACAACACAUUUUCCUUUAGACAAAACAGAAAAAAUAAAGGAAAGCCAGAAAAUGAGAAGAGGGCAAUCAAUUAAAAAGGGUCUGCCUACCGUGCAACAGUUACACGGAACCACUGAAUUUUGUCUUUUUCCAACAAUUACACUACACUACCUUAUAUUUAUAAGAAAACUGAAUAGAUACUAUAAGUUACAAAUUGUUAUAUAUAGGUCUUUUUCUCUGGAUAAAAUUAUAAAAUGACUUUUGAAAAAAAAUUUUACUGUUAUUAUCAUUAUUUGCAUCCGCCUUGGCCGUACAGCAGAAUUUAAAUAAUUUUAGUUUAAUAUUAGUACAAAAUUAAUGCAGUACAUGAUAAUACCAAUUACCAAAUGUUGUAUAAUUUUAUUAUAAUUAUUAUAAUAUACUGCUAAUGUAAUAUAAUAUAAUAUAAUAUAAUACAUGUGGAUUACAUACUGCAAUACAAUAUAAUAUAAUAUAGUGUGCCAAACGGACCUUUAACUUUUUGAGUGAUGAUGGUCUAGUGGGAUGUAGAGAAAGUAAAAAUAAUCGUGGUAGAUCUUUUACAAUGGUUGAUUAGCUAUCAUCACAAAGUUUAGGCUAAUACAAUAAAAUUAACCAACUACCCUAUAUUUAAAAGAGCAUUUGGAAAUCAAUAAAUUUACUAUUUAAUUAUUUUUAAUCAAGAAAAAAUAAUAAAUUAUCAUUACAAUAAGAUUCACAAGCUCAAAUAUCUAAAAAAAUGAUAAUUCUCAAGAAAUAUGAAGCUCAAAUGCUUUUGAAAUAUUCUUAAAAAAAUAAACUAACUUCCUUUUAUGUUAUUCUUUAUUUAUCUUUCUAUAACUUUGUUGGGCUAUAUAUAUAUUUAUAUUUUAUAGGUAAAUUAACAUAUUGUAUGUAUAAAUAAACUAACAUGUCAACUAACGCUAAAAAAAAGUAAUAAAAAAGUAAAUUUUUGUAAUAUUAAAAUAAUAAAAUUUUACAACCUAAGACUUUUUACAUGUUUCUCAUUUUGAAAUUUCACCUUUUUUAUUUUAUAAUUUUCUAAAGUAUCAAGGUUAAUAACCUAUAUUCUUAAAACAUAUUCAAUUUUAAUUAUUUUACAUUAAAUAUAUAUUAUAUAACAAAAAAUAUUAUUUACAUUUAUUAAAUUUUCAUGUGUUUAAAAAUUUUACGUGAUAUUACAUUAUUAUAUUUACACCAUCAAUUAUUUUUAUGAUCAAAUUAAGUCAAUGGAUCAAACUUUAAAAAAUUUUAAAACAACAGAAAUUAUGUAAGUAAAUAUUUAAAAACUUUUAGCUUUUAUGAUUUUGUAAUAAACAGUAGGGACUUAAGUGUUAAUAACCAAUUGAACACAUCCUGACCGUCGAACACUUUAACUAUUGAUCCAUUGGCUGAGUUGAAAAAAGACAAAAAAUGAGGUACCGUGCAACUGUUGCACGGUAGGCGGACCCCAUACAUAAAUGAGAAACAACACUCUCAACGUACGGACAUAAAGACAAUAUUAAUGACAUCAUGAAUGAUACAGGAUGAUUAUGAUGUUAUUCUCUAUUGUGCAUUGUAUUCAGUGGCAAAAUUGCAAAUUUGUUGAAAUACUCUAGUUUUAUUUAUUCAAAUUAUUAAUAAUAUUUUCAUUAUUUAAAAAUUUGGUUCUGUAUAGUUUAUCAAUCUUUUACAUUUCCACAUUGUCACAAUCUUGGAUGAAAAUCAACAUCGUCCCAUUGUCACAAUCUUGAAUAAAUUAAGUACAUAAAACACUUAAGAAAAAUGGUUAUUUUUACCAUAAAUGAAGAAGAGGAAUAGAAGAAUUGAUACAAGAGAUAAAUUGGCCAUCUGUUUUUUACUUUAAUUUCUUUUUGAACAAUAAUAUCGGUGAGAUACUGUUUCAUAAAAUAAUCUUAAAUAACAAUGGUGAGAUAGCGUUGGACAGCAUACACCACGACGUUAAGAAUUAAAUAAUCUUUGAGCAAUGUCAGUCCUGCCUCAAUUGCAACCGAUAACCCAUCGACGGUCCCCACACCACCAUUCCCCAUGACUGCAUCAACAUUUAAUUGAAAAUGGCCAAGCGGAGGUGGGUGCCAAGGCGUCACAACUGCUUCUGGUAAACUAAUAACAUUAUCUUUUUUAAUUACUUGGUGUGUGGCCAAUCUAAAAUUCAAUUAGUGAUGUGACACCUAACUCAGGCAUUACGUAUGCGGGUCUCACAAGCCCAUAAUAGCUACCUUAGUGUUGGAGGUAUACCUACGGGGAUUGCUUGAACUUCCAAAAGCUUAUAUUAAUUGAUCAUUGGGCCCUUUGUUUAUGGGUUAAGGACUAUGAUUACUCUAGUUGGUGAAACUUCCAAUAGCUCGAUUAAACGAUUUCAUCAAUUGCUCUGUUUGUAGAAUGAAUACUCGAUCCAUGGCACAAGGUGCUGGGUUCAAAAAAUGCAUCAAAUUUGACGGUUAGGAAGAGUUGGUGAAUGUAAAUUUCUAUACCUAGAUCUCACAUCAGUUGUUCAAUUAAAGUCCAUUUUCCCUUAUUUAUUUUUAUUUUUCAAUUAGGUAAAGACAUAUGACUAUUGUUCAAAUGAAAAAGACAAACUUUUUCUUUAGACAUAAAAGAAAAAAAAAAAGCAAAGCAAAAAAAAAGAGAAAAACAGAGAAAAGGGCAAUCAAUCAAAAGGCAGCACAUGCAAAUGCAAUGGAGAAUGGGUGAGUCAGCAAUCAUACAUAAAUGUGAAGAAAGACUUACUGUGUACGGAGAUAACGACCACCUUGAUGAUAUCAUAAAUUCGACGUCAUCCAAUAAGACGUGUCGGCAGAUAAUUGGUUAUAUAAUAAUGUACGGGAUUCAAACUCUCACGUUUUCCUCCCUUCUUAAUAAGAAACCCCCUUAAUAAACUUCAAAUUGACUUGCUUAUUUAUAAAACCCUUUUCGCUACGUGCUUUCACAUAAAUUCUUCAGAUAAUCAUUUCUCGUUUUCUGAGGUUCAGACAGAAGCAGCUAUGGGGGAGAAGGUUUGUAAAUUGCCCUUUUGGUUAAAUUUGUGCUGUGCAUGCAUCGAUCGAUCGAUCUCUCAUGAUGAUAGCUUAUAGUGUGUAUGUGCAUGUAUAUGGGGUUACCUUGCUGAUUCUUUCAUGUCAGAAAUUAGUUAAAUGUUUACCUUUUGUCUUUAGUUAAUUAGCCUGCAGUAAAAUACUUUUGUAUUAUCUGUGUAAUAUUGUUUACAGAAGGUUACAAAAAUGGUGCUGAAGGUUGACCUUUCGUGCUCAAAGUGCCGCAAGAAAGUGAAGAAAGUACUUUGCAAAUUCCCACGUAAGUAUCUCUCUGAUUGCUAGCCCAAUACAUUUACAUAUAUCAUAAAGGAAAAAUAACAUCUAUACUCCUAUGAUUUAGAAAAAUAAUUAUAUAAACUCUCAAAUUUUUAACAGGGAAUAACAAUUUUUUUUUAACUAUAAUGUCCUUUAAUUUUAUCAACUCAAAAAUAUUUUUUCUAUAUCUUAUACUAAAUAGAAACAUAAUAUUAAAAUAAAUAUUUAAAUACUUAAAUUCGUUCCAACGUUAUACAAAAUAAUUUUAAUAUUAUUAAUAUAAGGUAUAUUCUAUCAAUGUUAAAGACUUAAAGCCUAUUUAACCCAAAAAUUUAUUUUAAAAAAUCGUAUAAUAAAUAAAAAUAUAUUAUUAAAAUGAAAUAAUAGUUGACAUUUUAAAAAAUUUAUGUAUUAAAAAAAUAUUCUGAUAUUAUUAGUCUACAAGAUAAAUCAAACUACUUAAAUAAAUUUGUAUGUAUUAAAAAAUUUUAAAGUAAUUUUUUAUUUAAUAUUUACAAAGGGUAUUAUAGUCAAAAAAAAAUUUUGAUGUCCUUUAUAAAAAACCUGAGUGUUUAUUUGAUCAUUUCUACAAACCUUAGUGGUGCAGGUGUUAUUUUCCCUAUAAUAUAUUAGGGUGCUGUAAAAUGUUUCCCAAUGACAUAAAAUCCCGUAUUCGUAUUUUAUUUCGUGUGUAAGUAGAAUUGCUUAUUUUGUAUUUGUAAAUGGAAAAAAUGGUUGAUGGAUGGGUGAGCUAAGAUAUUGUGUUGGGACUUUUUAAACAAAAAGAAAUACAAGAGCAGUCAUUCGAUGAGAAGACGAAUACGGUGACAAUAAAAGUAGUGAGCUGCAGUCCUGAAGAGAUCAGAGACAAGCUAUGUUGCAAAGGAGAAGGUGUAAUCAAGACUAUUGAAAUCCUAAAACCUGAUGAAAAACGUCUUAAGGAUAACAAAAAACCGCCACAACAGGAUGGGGAUAACAAAAAACCGGAUAACAAAAAACCACCACAACCGGAUGGGGAAAACCCAAAACUACCCCUGGUGCCAGUGCCGUGUUACCCGCCGGUUUGGGUAUGUUGGAAGCAAUGUUCUGAGGGUAAAGGUUGGGGACCGUGUCACCAGCUUGGCUUCGGGCAAGGGAGGCAUUGUGAUUGGUGCUAUGCAAGGCUAGUGUAUGAGAGCUGGGGUGGUAGCUGCCAUAGUAGAGUUUAUUGCAGAGGUCGCUGUUCAGAUUUCACUUAUGGUCGCUGUUCAUAUUGCACCUGUGGUCGUUGUUCAGAUUGCACCUGUGAAGGAAAUCCACCACCGUCUUGCACAAUCUCAUGAAUCAAUGAUCAUGAAUGGUGAUCGUCAGUGAUCACCAUUGUUUACUUUCUUCUAGUUCUAGUUGCUUCUUGUAUGCUGGUUUAAUCUUUAACAUUUUGGGUAAUA
rnacentral:lncRNA from 1 species